CCUGGACUCAGUGGGUCCUCCUGCCUCAGCAUCCUGAGUAGCUGGGACUACAGCCUGGUUGCAGAGUGAGCCCAUGGGACAGCCCUCUGAAAUUAUACUGCUUACAACCAUGCUGAGUCUGCAAGGACUUCGUCCAAGCCUUUCCGUCCAGGACCUCAAACAGAUCCAAUCACAAGAAGAGAGAUUUCAGGAAAGAGAAAAUUAUUCCUAUCAUCGGGGUUUUUGAAGAACAUGAAAUGACUGGGAAAAUAAUCAUGUUAAGUGGAAAAAAAAAAGAAAUCUAUCUGUUGUAAUUUUCAAAUAAUUUUUAAAUAAAUUUGAAAAAUUAAGAGAACUAUAUAUAUAA
rnacentral:lncRNA from 1 species